UACAGAGGGGGCAAGCGUUGUUCGGAAUUACUGGGCGUAAAGGGCGCGUAGGCGGCCUGCUAAGUCGAACGUGAAAUCCCCGGGCUCAACCCGGGAACUGCGUCCGAUACUGGCAGGCUUGAAUCCGGGAGAGGGAUGUGGAAUUCCAGGUGUAGCGGUGAAAUGCGCAGAUAUCAGGAGGAACACCAGUGGCGAAGGCGCCACUCUGGGCCGUGACUGACGCUGAGGAGCGAAAGCGUGGGUAGCAAACAGG
rnacentral:rRNA from 1 species